rnacentral:rRNA from 1 species
AUUGAACGCUGGCGGCAUGCCUUACACAUGCAAGUCGAACGGCAGCGCGGACUUCGGUCUGGCGGCGAGUGGCGAACGGGUGAGUAAUGUAUCGGAACGUACCAUUCAGUGGGGGAUAACGCAGCGAAAGUUGCGCUAAUACCGCAUAUUCUGUGCGCAGGAAAGCAGGGGAUCGCAAGACCUUGCGCUGAUUGAGCGGCCGAUAUCAGAUUAGCUAGUUGGUGAGGUAAAGGCUCACCAAGGCGACGAUCUGUAGCGGGUCUGAGAGGAUGCUCCGCCACACUGGAACGGGUACACGGUCCAGACUCCUACGGGAGGCAGCAGUGGGGAAUUUUGGACAAUGGGGGCAACCCUGAUCCAGCCAUGCCGCGUGAGUGAAGAAGGCCUUCGGGUUGUAAAGCUCUUUCGGCCGGGAAGAAAUCGCACGGGCUAAUACCCUGUGUGGAUGACGGUACCGGAAUAAGAAGCACCGGCUAACUACGUGCCAGCCGCCGCGGUAAUAC